UCAUUGGUAACUGUAGCAAAACUAUAACUGUCCAGGAGGGAUCACGACCGGCACUCUGAUCUUAGCUGAUGAAAACUGUUCCAUGCUUCUUGAGCCUCUGACCAUAGAGCUUUUCCUCACAUCAAGCAGGACACAAGCCAAAGUAUAUUGUAUUUGUCUUACAUUUUAUGUUAUGUUUUAAAAUAGGUGAGUUGUGAAUUAUGGAACUCUUAAAGAUUGUAUAUUGUUCUAUGCCUUCAUUUUUUGAUUCCUAGAUGAUGUCAAAGGGCUAACCAGUAUCUUCUGAAUGGGCCUUUGGAAUUAUUGUGGUGGGAGACUGAGCAGGCCAGGAAGCACUGUAGUUGGUCAGGGCGCAGACAAGUGCCCAGAACCAGGACAGAGGCACACAAAUAGAGCACAAGAAACUCUGGCCAACUCUUGUUACAUAUCACUGUGACUCCUGCUUCAAACCUCCUGCUUCAAGUUGCACUUGAAACAGAGACCUAGGGAGAAGGAUUGUGUGGGUCUCCUAAUGUUCCUGAUCUACAGUUCCCAUCAUCGCUGAUGAUUGGUCAUGCAGACUGUGGCUGAUGGGAGUUGGAGUCAAAUGAUACCAUGAAGACCACAUGUUCACCACAGGCUUAAUGCAUGGAAGCAGGCAGCCUUUGUGCAAGAACCAGUAGCUUGAAGUUUUCCUGGAAUCAACAGUCAUAGCUAGUAAAGGUCUUUGAACAUUGGAGAAAAACAGCCAAAUCCAUGGAUCCCAAUUAUUAAUUGUGCUGCCCUAUUUUGUACCAACUGAGGUUUUUUAAUUUUUCCUUCCGAGACGGCACCACAAUUAAUGCACUGCAACAAUCCAUUUAAGUGUGGUAAAAUCAGGUUGGCUAACAGCAACUGAUACAAAUCUCCCACACAUCCAGAUCUUGCUGGUGCCACAGACAAGACACUGGGCAGAAUGGUCUCUUGGUUGGACCCAGCCAGGCCAAUCCAGUUUAAAUACAGCCAACCACAUGACAAUAAAUUUCUAGGACAAAUGCCAAGUGUAAUAUAAACCCUUACAUUUUUGCAUCGCUUGGGGGAGAGGAGGAGGAGGAAGUGAGAGAUGCGGGAAUUCAGAAUGGAGCCUUUUUGAACUUCUCAUUGGUUUUGCUGCCAUUGGAGUGCGUGGCUAGCUUUGUGUGCUGUCUGUGGCUAGAUCAACACUCGCCUCAGACUUUCUGUAGAUACCCAGCACCUUAUGCCAACAGUUCAGCUCUUAUCACAGUGACAAGGAGCUUGCAGAAGCUGUUUCGUGAGUCAUGAAAAUCCAUAAAGUGACUCUGAGCUUCAGCAGCAGUGACCUAUGAACGUAGCACCCUCUCCUGCUAAAUGCAUGCAAAUGGGUAAUUCACUGGUGCCAGGCCGCAUGCAAACACCUCACCAUUGGGGGUCACCAUAGCGAGGGGAGCUGAAACCCCAGCUGCACGCAAUCCUGCCUCCCUGGAGCUUCACCCUUCCUAUGCGCAGAAUGCGUAAUUCAGAGACUGGUGAAGCCUCUGACAGAGCGAAGGGAGGGGUAGCUUGGAGCUGGUCCAUGAAUGCUAACAAAAGGGCUUGUGUUUGACAGCUUCAGCUGCUAUAGCAACAUGGCUGCAGAUAAAGAGUGUUAGCUGUCCCAUCCUGCAACUCUCGGGAGAGGCAAGUUUAGGCAAAAAGGGAGUCAUCAAUGCCCACGGCCAGCAGGGCAAGCGAGGGCGGGACUGCCAGCUCCCUCUCAUUUGCCUGUAAUCCACGGUUGUAGGAGGGGUUUGCAGCUCCUGCAGCUCUUGUGCUUGAGCUAUAUAACCUUGCUAGAUUUUUUUAAGUAGCUUUUAUCACCAUCAACAAUGAGCCCAGGGGAGACUUUUGAGCACUUGUUGUCGCAUACAGAGGCAUUGUAGCAAUGUAAGUUUAAGGGUUUGCCCCCUUAACUUAAUGUUUUUAUUUAAAUAAAAAUGUCAAAAGUUCCUCUCUCUGCGUUUUGGCAGGUUAUUGAGUAAACAUUUGGGUUUUGGCAUCGCCAUUUGACAUCCAGUAACAGGUAGUGCGGUGGAUACUUAAAACAAUCCAAUGAAGGGAGGGGGGGGCUUUUAGGAAAGUUUGAAACGUGCAGAGGGGAAAAGUUGAAAUACAUAUUUGGAUUUCAAAAUCUGACAUCAGGAUCUAAGAUCUGCAUUUAUAAAUCAAGAUUUGGCAUGGGCAAUUUGGAGUUCGAAACAUGAAUAUUUUGAAAUUCACCAGAUUUCAAAUUUUUCCCCUCAAAAUUUCCCCGACUUCCUCUAGGCCAAAGCUGAGGAACUUGUAGCCCUCCAGAAGCUUUAGGAUCAUCUGUGAUCACUGGUCAUGCUUGCUGGGGCUGAACUAACAAUGUUAGAGGGCUUUAGGUUUCCCAUGCCUGCUCUAGGUCAUGGAGGAUAAUCGCAAUUCGAGGCAAGAAGUUGGAUGAUCUUGUGAUGCACCUAAUUAUAAGGUUCUUCUAGGAUGACUCCACAGUUUUGUUUUAUCUUUUAUUUGUUUUUGUUUUUUGUUUUUAUUAAAGAUUUUCUUGAUUUAC
rnacentral:lncRNA from 1 species